UACGAAGGGGGCUAGCGUUGCUCGGAAUUACUGGGCGUAAAGGGUGCGUAGGUGGGUCUGUAAGUCAGUGGUGAAAUCUCCGAGCUUAACUCGGAAACUGCCAUUGAUACUAUAGGUCUUGAAUUAUCUGGAGGUAAGCGGAAUAUGUCAUGUAGCGGUGAAAUGCUUAGAUAUGACAUAGAACACCAAUUGCGAAGGCAGCUUACUACGGAUAUAUUGACACUGAGGCACGAAAGCGUGGGGAUCAAACAGG
rnacentral:rRNA from 1 species